CCCUACGGGAGGCAGCAGUGGGGAAUAUUGCACAAUGGGGGAAACCCUGAUGCAGCGACGCCGCGUGAGUGAAGAAGUAUUUCGGUAUGUAAAGCUCUAUCCGCAGGGAAGAAAACGACGGUACCUGACUAAGAAGCCCCGGCUAACUACGUGCCAGCAGCCGCGGUAAUACGUAGGGGGCAAGCGUUAUCCGGAUUUACUGGGUGUAAGGGGAGCGUAGACGGCCAGACAAGUCAGAAGUGAAAGCCCAGGGCUCAACUCUGGGACUGCUUUUGAAACUGUUGAACUAGAUUGCAGGAGAGGUA
rnacentral:rRNA from 1 species